GACGAACGCUGGCGGCGUGCUUAACACAUGCAAGUCGAACGGAAAGGCCCUGCUUUUGUGGGGUGCUCGAGUGGCGAACGGGUGAGUAACACGUGAGUAUCCUGCCCUUGACUUUGGGAUAACUUCAGGAAACUGGGGCUAAUACCGGAUAGGAGCUCCUGCUGCAUGGUGGGGGUUGGAAAGUUUCGGCGGUUGAGGAUGGAUUCGCGGCUUAUCAGCUGGUUGGUGGGGUAGUGGCUUACCAAGGCUUUGACGGGUAGCCGGCCUGAGAGGGUGACCGGCCACAUUAGGACUGAGAUACGGCACAGACUCCUACGGGAGGCAGCAGUGGGGAAUAUUGCACAAUAGGCGGAAGCCUGAUGCAGCAACGCCGCGUGCGGGAUGACGGCCUUCGGGUUGUGAACCGCUUUCGCCUGUGACGAAGCGUGAGUGACGGUAAUGGGUAAAGAAGCACCGGCUAACUACGUG
rnacentral:rRNA from 1 species